ACGUCAGAACUGUUUCGGUCUUCCAUCAGGGUUUCCCCUGACUUCAACCUGAUCAAGUAUAGUUCACCAUCUUUCGGGUCACAGCAUAUAUGCUCAAGGUACGUUCCAGUUAGAGGUAUAAAUAAUAUAAAUAUUUUUCAUACAUAACUAUAUAGAACGCCCCGGGAUUGCGUUAAUUAACUAUAAAUAGUUAAAAACUAAUCCCAUUAAUAGUCAAGUUAAUUUCGCUAUUAGGUUU
rnacentral:rRNA from 1 species